rnacentral:tRNA from 1 species
GCUGUCGUAGCUUAACCGAAGCAUAUCACUGAAGAUGUUAAGAUGGCCACUAACCCGGCCCGAGAGCA